AUUGAACGCUGGCGGCAUGCUUUACACAUGCAAGUCGGACGAGUGGCGAACGGGUGAGUAAUAUAUCGGAACGUACCGAGUAAUGGGGGAUAACUAAUCGAAAGAUUAGCUAAUACCGCAUAUUAUUCGAGCGGCCGAUAUCUGAUUAGCUAGUUGGUGGGGUAAAGGCCUACCAAGGCGACGAUCAGUAGCGGGUCUGAGAGGAUGACCCGCCACACUGGGACUGAGACACGGCCCAGACUCCUACGGGAGGCAGCAGUGGGGAAUUUUGGGCAAUGGGCGCAAGCCUGAUGCAGCAAUGCCGCGUGUCUGAAGAAGGCCUUCGGGUUGUAAAGGACUUUUGUCAGGGAAGCGGUACCUAAAGAAUAAGCACCGGCUAACUCCGUGCCAGCAGCCGCGGUAAUAC
rnacentral:rRNA from 1 species